GAUGAACGCUGGCGGCGUGCCUAAUACAUGCAAGUCGAGCGAACAGACGAGGAGCUUGCUCCUCUGACGUUAGCGGCGGACGGGUGAGUAACACGUGGAUAACCUACCUAUAAGACUGGGAUAACUUCGGGAAACCGGAGCUAAUACCGGAUAAUAUAUUGAACCGCAUGGUUCAAUAGUGAAAGACGGUUUUGCUGUCACUUAUAGAUGGAUCCGCGCCGCAUUAGCUAGUUGGUAAGGUAACGGCUUACCAAGGCAACGAUGCGUAGCCGACCUGAGAGGGAGAUCGGCCACACUGGAACUGAGACACGGUCCAGAUCCCUACGGGAGGAAGCAGUAGGGAAUCUUCCGCAAUGGGCGAAAGCUUGACGGAGCAACGCCGCGUGAGUGAUGAAGGUCUUCGGAUCGUAAAACUCUGUUAUUAGGGAAGAACAAAUGUGUAAGUAACUAUGCACGUCUUGACGGUACCUAAUCAGAAAGCCACGGCUAACUACGUG
rnacentral:rRNA from 1 species